rnacentral:tRNA from 1 species
CGCGGGGUGGAGCAGUCUGGUAGCUCGUCCGGGCUCAUAACCCGAAGGUCGUUGGUUCAAAUCCAGCCCCCGCAACC